UCGUGCUAGACGGGGAGGUAGCGGUGCCCUGUAACCCGCAAUCCGCUAUAGCGGGGUCGAUGCCUAUUUGAGGAUUGGUCUUGUGGAGUCUGAUUUAGGCAAGUGGCGUUGACGAUUGGGUCUUACGCAAUGGGAAUCCAUGAACCCCGUCAGGUCCGGAAGGAAGCAGCGGUAAGUGGAAGCUCUCAUGUGCCGUAAGGGCGCCUGGUCCGAGCUAACUACCUAGAUAUCGUCUGGAAGGCCACAUUCGAGAAUAGGUGCACGA
rnacentral:SRP_RNA from 2 species